CCUACGGGGGGCUGCAGUGGGGAAUAUUGGACAAUGGGGGCAACCCUGAUCCAGCCAUGCCGCGUGUGUGAAGAAGGCCCUCGGGUUGUAAAGCACUUUCAGUGAGGAAGAACGCCUGGUGGUUAAUACCCAUCAGGAAAGACAUCACUCACAGAAGAAGCACCGGCUAACUCCGUGCCAGCAGCCGCGGUAAUACGGAGGGUGCGAGCGUUAAUCGGAAUUACUGGGCGUAAAGCGCGCGUAGGUGGCUUGAUAAGCCGGUUGUGAAAGCCCCGGGCUCAACCUGGGAACGGCAUCCGGAACUGUCAAGCUAGAGUGCAGGAGAGGAAGGUAGAAUUCCCGGUGUAGCGGUGAAAUGCGUAGAGAUCGGGAGGAAUACCAGUGGCGAAGGCGGCCUUCUGGACUGACACUGACACUGAGGUGCGAAAGCGUGGGUAGCAAACAGGCUUAGAUACCCCUGUAGUC
rnacentral:rRNA from 1 species